GAAGGCUUCACCAAGUACAAAGACGAGACUGCCAGGGUGCAUUACAACUUAAAGGCGUGUGUUCAAUAACAUGUCAUCUCCGGAUAACACCAUUGUUUCUCCCUAAAAUGGACGGACUCAGUGCCCACCACCUGUCUCAGAACCCAGAAGGACUCAGAACCUAGUGCAUCAUGUCAGCUCCAGCAUCAGACAAAAGACUUACAGAGACUACUUAACCAGUCUCCACCAUUAUCAUAAUUAUCCUCAUUUUAUAAAGAAUUUAAGACACAGAAAACUUGGGUAAUCUGCUCAAAUUCACACAAUAAAGAGAGGCGCUGUGAAUGGAAGCCAGGCUGUUGGAAUGCAGAGCCCAGGAUACUGCUUGAGAAGAUUUUUAAAUUCUAAAGCAAAGAGGCACUGUGACCUGCAUCGAAUUCCACUAAAUUGCUGACUUGUCCUACUGACUUCUUUUAACUUCCUGCUACUGUUCAGAAGGAACGAGAAGUUGGAUAAAAUGCACGAAAUUUCCUGGAAACUUCCAGUGUUUCUACACAGCAUUUAAUAUUUCCACAUGGCGAGAGUGACAAGCAAUUCAGAGUGGGAUUUUAAGUUGGUUGUCCUUAUUACUGAAAUGAAAAAGCAAGACACUAAAAUCUUGAUUAAAGUGAGUUUAAAAAAAAUUAAGUGAGUUUUCAUUGAUUUUGUGACUUUAAGAAAAUUACCUAAUUGCAUACUAGGUUGCUUAUUUUUAAAAUAGGCAUCCUAAGGAACACAGAUUUGAGGUAUUAGAAAAGUUUUAUAUUCCUGACACAAUGCAUGGUAGACCUUUCCUCCUUCUCUGCCUGGCAACCCUCCACUCAUUUUCUGAAGUCAGCUCAGAUACCACCUACUCUGUAAGGCCAUCCCUAACUCACUCGGGUAAUUUCAGUUGCUCUCUUUGCUCCCACAGAUUUCAUGACUCUUAUAAUACCUAUUACAUGUAAUUGGUCAAGUCUGGUUUGCAUGCCUAUGGCCAUCUCACUGCACAACUCUAUAGAGGGCACUCUUUGUAAUUCUGCAACAGGACAUCCCUGUUUCCAUCAGCUCCAGGCACCUAGGAAGUCCUCUCAUCUUUGUAUCCCUAAGACCUGGCAUGAGAUUCCUAGAACAAAGUUAGUGUUUAAUACGUAGUUAAUGAACUAGUGGCUGAAUUUUACCUGUAUUUAUCUCUCUU